rnacentral:tRNA from 1 species
GGAAGGAUACUCAAGUGGCUGAAGAGGCGGCUUUGCUAAAGCUGUAGGGGGGUGCAAGCCCCCGCGAGGGUUCGAAUCCCUCUCCUUCCGCCA